CAUAGAGGCUGCAGGUUAGAAAUUAACUGUGAUUUGCAAAAACAAAACUACCCACUUGAUCCUCCUAUAUAUAUAUAUCAUACUCCACAUUUUACACACAAGAAAAUUUCACAGGCACACAGCUGACAUCAAUCAUUUGAGAUAUACACCAAUUUGAUGCCUUUAUAAUAAUUAAGACUCUAAUUAUGUACAGUACAGCCAAUAGAUGGUUUGCUUAGCAUACAGACUACAGUAAGUAAGGGGAAACAGCUGGGCUCUGUCCAAAGGAAACAUAAUCCAGAACCAACACCUCCAAAGCUAUUUAACACAUUACACUGUAUCUUGUUUACAUAAUCCAUACAAAUACUUAAGUUACUUGCUGGACUAUUUUGUGGCUGUACGCAGUGACUUUCAGGAGUCACAUAACCGCAACUUGCUGUUUUUACACUAUGUUUAUUUUGUAUGGAUUUUAAAAAAACAAGAAUAAAAAUGUUCAAUAGUGAGUAUGCCAAGUCGCUAUGAACAUUGUAUAACUUGUACAAACGUCAGUCAAAUGCAAAUCAUACAAACAUGUUCAUGGAUCUUUUUGCCCCAGUGUCUUGUGUGUUAAGGUACAAAAAUCCCAAAACCCCAGACAUUACUAAGGGACCAUUAAGUACAGUAUGUCGGUAAGUUUCACUUCCUGACUCUAAUGGAGUUUUUUAAUGCUUGGGAAUAGGGGCAGAUGGAUCCUGCACCUGCUCCACUCAAAUCCUGGGCCAAACCUCCUGUAUGGCCCCUCAACGUUGGGCUCUGAGUGCAGAUAAAACCAGUGUCAAGCCCAAGGCUACGCCCUCAGGGAACUUAUCCAAACUGGUCUGCCUGCCAUUUUGCUAAUCUUUGGUCAACAGCCCAUUUAUCAUUUCACAUAGCAAAUGUUAGUCUUACCUUUUGGAAACAUUUCACAAUUAAACACUUAAAAAAAUACUCAAAUUGAUAAUAUAGAUAUCAAGUGGCUCUAAUAAAAGGUUUGCCAUAAAGACAACAUGAUACUAAUCUCACCCUUGUAUGGAAGGAUUGGAAGGGGCUUUUGAUGUGGUUUUCAGGAGCAACAGACGACAUGUUGAAGCCAUGGCCGCAGGCUCCUGGGAAAUGUAUGAGGUGAUUUGCACGUGUCCCUGAAAUCCCUGGCAUUCAGCACAACUGAGUAUUGAAUCCCUGCUGAGACUGCACACAUUCCACACCAUCGGCUCUUCAGUCCCAGGCCCCAUGAAGCAUCCUUCCUCUCAUCAUUAAACCUACUCUUAACACUUCCAUGGAUGCUGCGCUGAUUCUCCAAUGAGAUAAUAGCAUAUAAUUUGUCAUUCUCCACCCCAUUACCUUGUGAACAUGGUGGAGAUGGAAACUUUCACUUGGCACUGAUGUAUCAUUUUGACAUAAGGAUCAGGGUGAACAAUCUGUCACUGAUGCUGAUGCAGUGUAACGUGAGUCAUCAUGGCUUCUGGGUAUUGAGCAGGAGAUGUCAAUUAUUGGACGGGCCUUUUAGUUAAACAGAACACCUGUAAAGCUUAGAGCCUGAGACUCUAAGUCUUGAGUUGAGCCGUAUAAAAAAAGUUUCUCAAUAAUAAAUAUGUAUAGUAAAUGUCAUUCUUGUACAUUUCCUGUGUCUGUUUGGAAUUAACCUAUUUUUCACUUUCAGUAUGCAUUUAUCUGCUUCUUUCCAUAAUUCUUUCUAAAAAAAAUAUAUCUAUUUUUCUUUUUCAAGAGA